rnacentral:rRNA from 1 species
AUUGAACGCUGGCGGCAUGCUUUACACAUGCAAGUCGGACGGCAGCACAGAGAAGCUUGCUUCUUGGGUGGCGAGUGGCGAACGGGUGAGUAACAUAUCGGAACGUACCGAGCAGUGGGGGAUAACUAAUCGAAAGAUUAGCUAAUACCGCAUAUCUUCUGAGGAAGAAAGCAGGGGACCAUUUGGCCUUGCGCUGUUUGAGCGGCCGAUAUCUGAUUAGCUAGUUGGUGGGGUAAAGGCCUACCAAGGCGACGAUCAGUAGCGGGUCUGAGAGGAUGAUCCGCCACAUUGGGACUGAGACACGGCCCAGACUCCUACGGGAGGCAGCAGUGGGGAAUUUUGGACAAUGGGCGCAAGCCUGAUCCAGCCAUGCCGCGUGUCUGAAGAAGGCCUUCGGGUUGUAAAGGACUUUUGUCAGGGAAGAAAAGGGCGGGGUUAAUACCCCUGUCUGAUGACGGUACCUGAAGAAUAAGCACCGGCUAACUACGUG